rnacentral:rRNA from 1 species
UACGGAGGAUCCAAGCGUUAUCCGGAAUCAUUGGGUUUAAAGGGUCCGUAGGCGGUUUUGUAAGUCAGUGGUGAAAGCCCAUCGCUCAACGGUGGAACGGCCAUUGAUACUGCAAGACUUGAAUUAUUGGGAAGUAACUAGAAUAUGUAGUGUAGCGGUGAAAUGCUUAGAGAUUACAUGGAAUACCAAUUGCGAAGGCAGGUUACUACCAAUAUAUUGACGCUGAUGGACGAAAGC